rnacentral:tRNA from 1 species
GCACCCGUAGCUCAGCUGGAUAGAGUACCUGGCUACGAACUAGGUGGUCGCACGUUCGAAUCGUGCCGGGUGCGCCA